GCGCCCAUAGUUAAAUGGAUAUAACUUCCCCCUCCUAAGGGGAGAUUGCAGGUUCGACUCCUGCUGGGCGCGCCA
rnacentral:tRNA from 2 species